UUUAAGCGUAACCGGAAGUUUCGGUGUCCAACUUUAAUCGUUCAUCUUAUUUGAAAAUUUUUUAUAAUUAAUAUUUUUAUUGUUAUGAGAUGAUAAAUUAUGAAUUGUACUUUAUAUGUGACUUAUGUUUUUUAAUUUUUUUUUAAAAUUUUUCAAAUAAGAAAGACAGUUAAAUUUGUACACAGAAAAUCAUGGCUGCAUUUAAA
rfam:Oryza rufipogon genomic scaffold, chr11